rnacentral:lncRNA from 1 species
GCCUAAUUGAUGAAAGUUGUAAAUUAAAGUUAUAAAUUCGAGGACGAAUGGAUCCUGGAUCGAUGAACGUGAAAGAAAAAAGUGAAGAACGUCAGAAUCGAGUAGCAUGGAAAGAAGUGAUUUUUAUUUCAGCAUGCAAGCAAGUAAGCAAACCAGUGUCUUCUUUGAUCUGUUUUCUUAGGUGAGUUGAGUCCAGUCCAGUCGUUGAGACCUUGAUUGAUGUUGGCCAUACGUUUUUGAUUUGAUUGAUGCAUAAAAAAAGAUGUACAAGUUCCUUACCCCAACGAAAUAAAAGUCCUUUCCUCGAUCGGAACCAAAGAAGAAGCUCAACUUUGUUUUUAUUGCAUCGAGAAGGGUACGUUGCUUAUUAGAGCUAGCUUAUCUUCGCUGCUAGCUACAGAUUUAUAUAUAUACAUGAUCCAUCACUGUCUGGCCCUCUGAUUUGCUGCUUCUGUCAGACCUUGGUAUAUAUCUUAUUGGCUUCUUGUUGUUUGCAGUUCACAGUGGCGUGUUCGACGCAUCCAUCACAUG